AAAAAAUUAGUUAAAAUAUAACAUUAGCUUGUCAAGCUAAAAUUAUUAAAUAAUUAAUAUUUUUUA
rnacentral:tRNA from 1 species